rnacentral:misc_RNA from 1 species
UAGUACAGUUGGGUCGUCCAAAUCUCCUGAAAAUUCCUCAUAUUCUGCCUUUGGAUGGUCUGAGGGCAUAUAUGGAAGUAAAAUGUAAUAAUAUUUUAAAAGACUCAACUGUUUGAGCAUGCGAGAUAUCAAUAAUGAAUAUGUGGACACAUGAUUACAAAUGGAUAUUCAAAGAGUGUAUUCAAGAUAGCAAGAAAUUAUGGAACCUUGAAAUGGGCAUUCAAACCUGGAUAGCGGUAAAGCUAAGUGAAUGAGGGGAAGGAAGCAUUUGGAAACUGUA